rnacentral:ncRNA from 1 species
AUCCGAGAAAGGCAAAACCGUCGAAAGACGGCGGCGCAAAACUAGAGGGGCUACAGCGGUUGCUCCGCCAGGCCAGCCAGUUGCCGGU